rnacentral:misc_RNA from 1 species
GAUGAAGAACGUAGCGAAAUGCGAUAAGUAAUGUGAAUUGCAGAAUUCAGUGAAUCAUCGAAUCUUUGAACGCACAUUGCGCCCGCCAGUAUUCUGGCGGGCAUGCCUGUUCGAGCGUCAUUUCAACCAUCAAGCCCCCGGCUUGUGUUGGGGACCUGCGGCUGCCGCAGGCCCUGAAAACCAGUGGCGGGCUCGCUGUCACACCGAGCGUAGUAGAUUUUCAUCUCGCUCAGGGCGUGCUGCGGGUUCCGGCCGUAAAAGCCUUAUUUACCCAAGGUUGACCUCGGAUCAGGUAGGAAGACCCGCUGAACUUAAGCAUAUCAAUAAGCGGAGGA